rnacentral:lncRNA from 1 species
CUUUAGCAACUAUUGCUAUCUUACCUCUUCGAGGUUCCGUAACAUCUUGUUCGAUGUUCUCAUAACUGCUUCUGAUCACUGAAAUGUGAUCAGCUGCAAUACCCCCACUAGUGCCCCCACUAUUUCUCAAUUUAAAGUGAAAUUUGUUUUUAUAUAAAUCAACUUCAUUUGAUUCUAUCACCAUUUUAGCAUAUAGGUCAUAAACCCUAUAAGCUUUACUAUCAAUUAUAUACUCAAUGAGUACAUAUUCAUAGGCUCUACUAGUGAGUUUAACUCUUUUGGUUUCUGGAAUUUAAACAUAGACCAGAUAAACUCAAGUUCUAAAAUAAGACAAAUUAGAUUGUCUUUUCUUCAAAAAUUCAUAAAUAGAAAUUUUGUUCUUGUGCUUGGCCACUCUACUUAGCACAAAACAAUCAAUUAAUAAAAUUUCACACACUAAUAUAAUGAGAUGCAAUGCCGAA